GUUUUACACAAGGUGUUUGCAAGAUCUGCCAAAUAUUACUAUUAACGAUGUCCACCGCAUCAUUCAAGCCUCCUCUUCUGCACCAAGAAGUAAGCAUGAGAAGGGGUUUAAAAUGUAUGUAUCCAGUUACAUCGAUAACUACGAAGAUCGUCUUUGUGGAUUUAUCCCCUGUUGAGAUGUGCAAUGCUGAGUGUUCAUGUGUGGCUGGAACAGCACUGUGCAAUCAUACUGUUGCACUUCUUUACCAAACUGCGCACUAUUCCCAACUGAACCUUACUGCAGUCCCCCCCGUUCUGAGUUGCACUGAGACAGAACAACGCUGGCACAAGCCAAGAACUAUGGUAAGCCUCUGAUCAUUAAAAACGAAACUUUGUAACUUUUCAUUAGACAUAUUUCAUAUUAAUUUAAUAAUUCUCAUGGUGUGAACCCAGGCAGAGUCGGUGAUAUGGUGGUAGUAUCUAGCAAGCCAAAGCAGAGGACUGUUGCUGAUGGUGUAAGGAGCACACUUUACAAAGCAGUGCAAGGAGAUUUGCCUGAUCAAGACGUGCUUAAAGUGUCAGAAAUUUACAAGGACUUUUCAACAGACAUUG